rnacentral:rRNA from 1 species
GCGUCUAUAUACGUAUAGCAUAUCAAUAAGCGGAGGAAAAGAAACUAACUAGGAUUCCCUUAGUAACGGCGAGUGAAGCGGGAAGAGCUCAAAUUUGAAAUCUUCAAGGUUCUACCUUGACGAAUUGUAGUUUAAAGAAGUGUUUUCUGUUGGAAUUUUGGUAAAAGUUCUUUGGAAAUAGGACAUCAUAAGAGGGUGAGAAUCCCGUAUUUGACCAUUAUUUCCAGCUUUGUGAUACACUUUCAAAGAGUCGGAUUGUUUGGGAAUGCAGUCCAAAAUGGGUGGUAAAUUUCAUCUAAAGCUAAAUAUUGGCGAGAGACCGAUAGCGAACAAGUACCGUGAGGGAAAGAUGAAAAGAACUUUGAAAAGAGAGUUAAACAGUACGUGAAAUUGUCAAAAGGGAAGCGUUUGACACCAGUGUUGUUUCGUCGAAAAUCAAUUAAAUAAUGCUGAUUUUAAGUUAGUAUUGACUUUAUCAGCUUGCUGCCUUUUUUCCUGUAACUUAUUUAAUGCACUUUUCAGUUAACAAGUCAACAUCAAUUUCUUUUGUUGUUAAAGAGUCAUUGGAAGGUGGCUUUCUUUUCGGAGAAAGUGUUUAUAGCCUUUGACUUCUGCAAUCGGAGAGAUUGAGGUCUGCAGCGUAGAUCCUUCGGGGUUAGAUGCAUUUGUGCUAAGCUAUAGCCUUUCAUAGACAACUUGUUGACUAUGAUCAGUCAUGUAGCUUACUCGCUUAUGUCUAUUUUACCUACGCUUAGGAUGUUGAUCUGUAGUGCGUGCGC